rnacentral:lncRNA from 1 species
UAGCUCAGACUCAGGCGUGGAUGUCCGAUACAGGUGUAGAUCUAGAGGUCAGAUCCUUCAUGAUCUAAAUUUUAAGAUUCGGGGAUAUGGAUACGGGUGUGGGGAUUUGAUUAAAAAUAAUUCAAACAUCUAAAAAUACAAUUAUAAUAAUGUAUCUAAGACACUAUGUGGAAAACUCAAAAGGUAUUAACAAUAACGACGACCCAAUAAAAUCCCACAAGUGGGAUCUGGGGAGGCUAGUGUGUAUGCAUACCCAAUAAAAUAUUGAUCAAGAGGAGAAUCCGAGGAGAUAAAAUGAGAAGGACUGACAUAAAAAUUUCUAUACACAAGGUAUUUCUUUCAAAAACCAUUGUAUUUGUCCAUAAUUUCUCCAUUGGUUUUGGUCUAAGUACCAAGAAUGAUUGACCAGAUCCGGUACGGAUCCCACCACACCCACACCUACUUCGUGUCGACACAAGUGCGGCACUAAAAGUGAAGAAUCCGAGCAACUUAGGAUGGACUAACAACAAUAAUUGAGUUGCAUUCUCAUUCUAUAACCACCUCAUUCUAGGCCAUACACUAAUCUACCUAAAUCAGGCUAUUUU